UAGCUAUUUAAACCAAACCAAUAUAAUUGGUUCGAUCACCUGAUUUAUAGAAUUAGCUCUCUCCCUUUUGGAAGCUCUAUCAGAUAAACAAGUUUUUGAUUAGUGAUUCCGAAGUUUUUUUAAUAUAAUUUAUAGACAAGUUGCAUUGUAGUACUCAUUUCAAUCAAAAUCCUCAGUUUCGGUUUAGCUAUUUAAACCAAACCAAUUUAAUUGGUUCGAUCACCUGAUUAAUAGAAUUAGCUCUCCCGUUUGGAAGCUCUAUCAGAUAAACAAGUUUUUGAUUAGUGAUUCUGAUUUUUUUUAAUAAUUAUAGACAAGUUGCAUUGUACUCAAUUCCAAUCAAAAUCCUCAAUUUCGGUUUAGCUAUUUAAAUCAAACCAAUUUAAUUGGUUCGAUCACCUGAUUUAUAGAAUUAGCUCUCCCUUUUGGAAGCUCUAUCAGAUAAACAAGUUUUCGAUUAGUGAUUCUGGAUUUUUUUUUUGUUUUGACAAGUUGCAUUGUACUCAAUUCCAAUCAAAAUCCUUAAUUUCGGUUUAGCUAUUUAAACCAAACCAAUUUAAUUGGUUCGAUCACCUGAUUUAUAUAAUUUGCUCUCCCUUUUGGAAGCUCUAUCAGAUAAACAAGUUUUCGAUUAGUGAUUCUGAAUUUUUUUUUAAUAAUUAUAGACAAAAGUUGCAUCAAUUCCAAUCAAAAUCCUCAAUUUCGGUUUAGUUAAACCAAACCAAUUUAGUUGGUUCAAUUACCUGAUUUGUAGAAUUAGCUCUCUCUUCUUUUUGGAAGCUCUAUCAGAUAAACAAGUUUUCGAUUAGUGAUUCUGGAUUUUUUUUGACAAGUUGCAUGGUACUCAAUAGGGGUGGCAUUCAGUUAUUUUCUCGGUUUGGUUCGGGUUCGGUUCGGUUCGGUUCGGUUUGGUUAGUUCGGUUCUAGUAUUAUUCCAACUGAAAUAAACCAUAGUUAGUUUGGUUUGAUUCGGUUUAGUUUGUGUUCAGUUCGGUUUAUAUUCGGUUCGGUUUGUUUUUGGAUCGGUUUAAUUAGGUUCUUCUUAGUUUUAUUUUUUGUAAAAAAAAUUAUGUUUUAUAACAUAAAUUAUGUGAACUAAAUUAAAUAUAAAACUGAAACAAAAACCUUUAAAAAGGUCAAAAAGUAUAUAAAAAUUAAAACAAAUGAAAGUUAAUUAAAAAAAACCCAACAUUAUUAGUAAUGUUUCUUAUAUCAUUAUUAAAAAGUCUGCAAUGAAUCAUCUUCCAUGUGACGUUAUGGAGAAGAACUUUUGUUUUUAAUAAAAUUUGCUUUAGGUUUUAGGUUUAGAUUUAACAUUUACGUUUACGUAUAUAAGAAUAUAAAAAUACAGAGUUUUCUAUUUUUUUAAUCAAAUAUUUUGAUGAUUGCAUGUUAGGUUAAAAGAAUAUAUGUUAAUGAAUGAAAAAUGGAAAAAAUGUGGUUUGGUAUUAGAAUUUUAGUAUAUUGGUAUUACUAAUAUUUUUAAUUUAGAUAAUUACAAAAACACAUCGGUUUCUCAGUUCGGUUCGGACCGAACCAUGAAUGGUUUGAAAUAGAUUUUGAUUCGGUUUGAAUCGG
rnacentral:lncRNA from 1 species